GAGGAUGGAGCAAAGAACAGACUGAAGGCCAAGGAGUUCCACAGGAAAACCCUACAGAGGCUUCGUGCCAAGCAGAGCCGACAGUGAUCGACUUCCAAUGUGUCACAGUUUUACUUUCUGUUCAUAUUUAUAUGUUUCAUCAAUAAAGCAUUAAGUUAUUUAAAUCUA